rnacentral:tRNA from 1 species
GGGCGCGUAGCUCAGCGGUAGAGCACCUGUCUUACACACAGGCGGUCGCAGGUUCGAGACCUGCCGCGCCCA